AGAGUUUGAUCCUGGCUCAGGACGAACGCUGGCGGCGUGCCUCAUACAUGCAAGUGGAGCGACGAACCAGGCUUCGGCCUGGGGCAAAGCCGCGAACGGGUGAGUAACACGUGGGUGACCUGCCCCGAUGAUUGGGACAACCCGAGGAAACUCGGGCUAAUACCGAAUGUGCUCCUGGUCGUGAUGGCCAGGCGGAAAGG
rnacentral:rRNA from 1 species